UCGGAUGUAGUGCAUGGUGCACGCCCGCACCCAGUAGGAAGGCUUCUAGCAAUGCAUGCGGGAGGCCUGGGUUCAAUUCCUGGUAUCCGAA